rnacentral:rRNA from 1 species
AAUGAACGCUGGCGGCGUGCUUAACACAUGCAAGUCGAACGAGGCUGGAGGGGCAACUCUCCAGUUGAGUGGCGGACGGGUGAGUAACACGUGGGUAACCUGCCCGGAAGUGGGGAAUACCUCGGGGAAACUCGAGCUAAUACCGCAUGACAUCUUUGGGACGAGAGUCCUGACGAUCAAAGCGGGGUCGCAAGAUCUCGCGCUACCGGAUGGGCCCGCGCCCGAUUAGCUAGUUGGUGAGGUAACGGCUCACCAAGGCUUCGAUCGGUAACCGGCCUGAGAGGGCGAUCGGUCACACCGGAACUGAGACACGGUCCGGACUCCUACGGGAGGCAGCAGUGGGGAAUCUUGCGCAAUGGGCGAAAGCCUGACGCAGCAACGCCGCGUGGAGGAUGAAGGCCCUUGGGUUGUAAACUCCUGUCGCUGGGAAGAAAUCUUGCGGGGCUCAUACCUCCGCAAGUUGACUGUACCAGCAAAGGAGCCCCGGC